rnacentral:rRNA from 1 species
AUUGAACGCUGGCGGAAUGCUUUACACAUGCAAGUCGAACGGCAGCACGGGGGCAACCCUGGUGGCGAGUGGCGAACGGGUGAGUAAUACAUCGGAACGUGCCCGGUCGUGGGGGAUAACGUAGCGAAAGUUACGCUAAUACCGCAUACGAUCUGAGGAUGAAAGCGGGGGACCUUCGGGCCUCGCGCGAUCGGAGCGGCCGAUGUCAGAUUAGGUAGUUGGUGGGGUAAAGGCCUACCAAGCCGACGAUCUGUAGCUGGUCUGAGAGGACGACCAGCCACACUGGGACUGAGACACGGCCCAGACUCCUACGGGAGGCAGCAGUGGGGAAUUUUGGACAAUGGGCGCAAGCCUGAUCCAGCCAUUCCGCGUGCAGGACGAAGGCCUUCGGGUUGUAAACUGCUUUUGUAUGGAACGAAAAGGCCCUGGCUAAUACCUGGGGCUCAUGACGGUACCGUAAGAAUAAGCACCGGCUAACUACGUG